UACGAACUGUGCAAACGUUAUUCGGAAUCACUGGGCUUAAAGGGUGCGUAGGCGGCUGUCUAAGUAGGGUGUGAAAGCCCCCGGCUCAACCGGGGAAUUGCGCCCUAAACUGGAUGGCUGGAGUGAGGCAGGGGUGUGUGGAACUUCCGGUGGAGCGGUGAAAUGUGUUGAUAUCGGAAGGAACGCCGGUGGCGAAAGCGACACACUGGAUCUUGUCUGACGCUGAGGCACGAAAGCCAGGGGAGCGAACGGG
rnacentral:rRNA from 1 species